AACGAACGCUGGCGGCAGGCUUAACACAUGCAAGUCGAGCGCAUCCUUCGGGGUGAGCGGCGGACGGGUGAGUAACGCGUGGGAACGUGCCCUCUUCUACGGAAUAGCCUCGGGAAACUGAGAGUAAUGCCGUAUACGCCCGCAAGGGGAAAGAUUUAUCGGAGGAGGAUCGGCCCGCGUUGGAUUAGGUAGUUGGUGGGGUAACGGCCUACCAAGCCGACGAUCCAUAGCUGGUAUGAGAGGAUGAUAAGCCACACUGGGAAUGAGACACGGACCAGACUCCUACGGGAGGCAGCAGUGGGGAAUAUUGGACAAUGGGGGCAACCCUGAUCAAGCCAUGCCGCGUGAUCGAUGAAGGCCUUAGGGUUGUAAAGAUCUUUCAGCUGGGAAGAUAAUGACGGUAACAGCAGAAGAAGCCCCGGCUAACUACGUG
rnacentral:rRNA from 1 species